rnacentral:rRNA from 1 species
CCUACGGGAGGCAGCAGUGAGGAAUAUUGGUCAAUGGGCGCUAGCCUGAACCAGCCAAGUCGCGUGAAGGAUGACUGCCCUAUGGGUUGUAAACUUCUUUUAUAUGGGAAUAAAGUGCAGUAUGUAUACUGAUUUGCAUGUACCUUAUGAAUAAGGAUCGGAUAACUCCGUGCCAGCAGCCGCGGUAAUACGGAGGAUCCGGGCGUUAUCCGGAUUUAUUGGGUUUAAAGGGGGCGUAGGCGGGUUUGUAAGUCAGUUGUGAAAGUUUGCGGCUUAACCGUAAAAUUGCAGUUGAUACUGGCAGCCUUGAGUACGGUAGAGGUAUGCGGAAUGCGUGGUGUAGCGGUGAAAUGCUUAGAUAUCACGAAGAACGCCGAUUGCGAAGGCAGCCUGCUGGACUGUAACUGACGCUGAGGCACGAAAGUGUGGGGAUCAAACAGGAUUAGAUACCCGAGUAGUC